UGUGUGUGUGUGUGUGUGUGUGUGUGUGUGUGUGUGUGUGUGUGACAGAAAGAUCUGAUUUUAUCCCUUUUUCUAGGAAAAUAUGACUUUGCCCAGGACCUCACCCAGUAUAAUCCUCCACACAAAUCACUCAGAAGGAUCACAUCACUUUAUCCAAAAAAAGAAAAAAUCUGAGAGUUCCAGGUUCGCCUAACGAAAGCGACUUCAUGCAAUGAAAUUCCUGUCAUUCUUCCCUAAUAUUUUGCAUUAAAUGAUCUAUUUUCCUCCAAAUAUUUCCUUGUUGAUUAUCAUUAUAAAUCUUCCCUUAGGUAUCUAAUUUUAUAUAAAAUAUAUAUAAAUGGC
rnacentral:lncRNA from 1 species